rnacentral:misc_RNA from 1 species
AAGCAGAUGAAGCCAAACGGAGCGAGGCUGAAGCCAAGGCAAUGACCGACGAAUACGGCGCGUUCACGCAAUCCAUUAUCCAGAGCGGGAACUUCAAGGGCGGUGACCGGCUUCACCCGACGUCGAUGGCGACCACNNNACGCCAAGCCCCUGACCACCGAUGGCCCGUUUGCGGAAACCCACGAGCAGCUCGGCGGAUACUACAUCGUCGACGCGAAGGAUAUCGAUGCAGCGCUGGCGA